GAUGAACGCUGGCGGCGUGCCUAAUACAUGCAAGUCGAGCGAACAGACGAGGAGCUUGCUCCUCUGACGUUAGCGGCGGACGGGUGAGUAACACGUGGAUAACCUACCUAUAAGACUGGGAUAACUUCGGGAAACCGGAGCUAAUACCGGAUAAUAUAUUGAACCGCAUGGUUCAAUAGUGAAAGACGGUUUUGCUGUCACUUAUAGAUGGAUCCGCGCCGCAUUAGCUAGUUGGUAAGGUAACGGCUUACCAAGGCGACGAUGCGUAGCCGACCUGAGAGGUUGCUCGGCCACACUGGAACUGAGACACGGUCCAGACUCCUACGGGAGGCAGCAGUAGGGAAUCUUCCGCAAUGGGCGAAAGCCUGACGGAGCAACGCCGCGUGAGUGAUGAAGGUCUUCGGAUCGUAAAACUCUGUUAUUAGGGAAGAACAAAUGUGUAAGUAACUAUGCACGUCUUGACGGUACCUAAUCAGAAAGCCACGGCUAACUACGUG
rnacentral:rRNA from 1 species